GAUGAACGCUGGCGGCGUGCUUAACACAUGCCAGUCGAACGGUGAAGGCGGAGCUUGCUCUGCUGGAUCAGUGGCGAACGGGUGAGUAACACGUGAGCAAUCUGCCCCUGACUCUGGGAUAAGCGCUGGAAACGGCGUCUAAUACUGGAUACGAGCUGCGAAGGCAUCUUCAGCAGCUGGAAAGAAUUUCGGUCAGGGAUGAGCUCGCGGCCUAUCAGCUUGUUGGUGAGGUAAUGGCUCGCCAAGGCGUCGACGGGUAGCCGGCCUGAGAGGGUGACCGGCCACAAUGGGACUGAGACACGGCCCAGACUCCUACGGGAGGCAGCAGUGGGGAAUAUUGCACAAUGGGCGAAAGCCUGAUGCAGCAACGCCGCGUGAGGGACGACGGCCUUCGGGUUGUAAACCUCUUUUAGCAGGGAAGAAGCGAAAGUGACGGUACCUGCAGAAAAAGCGCCGGCUAACUACGUG
rnacentral:rRNA from 1 species